rnacentral:pre_miRNA from 1 species
CAACCAACUUUCCUUGAGAAUAAAGCGUAUUUGUCGUUGCAUCCUUAACAUAAACGCAACGAUUCAGGUGCUUUUCUUUCAAUCAAAGUUAAUAC